rnacentral:rRNA from 1 species
GAUGAACGCUGGCGGCGUGCCUAAUACAUGCAAGUCGAGCGAACGGACGAGAAGCUUGCUUCUCUGAUGUUAGCGGCGGACGGGUGAGUAACACGUGGAUAACCUACCUAUAAGACUGGGAUAACUUCGGGAAACCGGAGCUAAUACCGGAUAAUAUUUUGAACCGCAUGGUUCAAGAGUGAAAGACGGUCUUGCUGUCACUUAUAGAUGGAUCCGCGUUGCAUUAGCUAGUUGGUAAGGUAACGGCCUACCAAGGCAACGAUGCAUAGCCGACCUGAGAGGGUGAUCGGCCACACUGGAACUGAGACACGGUCCAGACUCCUACGGGAGGCAGCAGUAGGGAAUCUUCCGCAAUGGGCGAAAGCCUGACGGAGCAACGCCGCGUGAGUGAUGAAGGUCUUCGGAUCGUAAAACUCUGUUAUUAGGGAAGAACAUAUGUGUAAGUAACUGUGCACAUCUUGACGGUACCUAAUCAGAAAGCCACGGCUAACUACGUG